AUGAUACUCCCUCCGUCCGGAAAUACUUGUCAUUGAAAUGGAUGUAUCUAGAUGUAUUUUUGUUUUAGAUACAUCCAUUUUCAUCCAUUUUGAUGACAAGUAAUUCCGGACGGAGGGAGUACAAU
rnacentral:pre_miRNA from 1 species